rnacentral:snoRNA from 1 species
UCAGUAAGCGAUGAUGAACUAAUUCAGUACAUUCUUAAUGGUCUUGAUUUUGAUUACAAUCCUUUUGUGUUAUUUGUCCUUGGACGAACUGAUACACCAUCUCUGAGUGAAUUAUAUGCGCAAUUGUUGGCUUAUG